rnacentral:tRNA from 1 species
GGCUCUGUGGCGCAAUGGAUAGCGCGUUGGACUUCUAAUUCAAAGGUUGUGGGUUCGAGUCCCACCAGAGUCGA